UGCUGUCAAACGUUUACUCUGGUUGUGUCCAAUUACCUAGGUACCACUGCAUAACCAUACCAUUCACUCAUUAUUCCACAAGUAAAAAGAAUUUAGAUUUGAAAAAAUGUGUUUCCAGGGUCUGGGUUUCUACAAGUUUUUCUGCUUCUCUCUACUUAUUUCUAAUUGUAUAUUUCACAAGGGAUACCUAGUUAUUUCUAAUACUAACCCAUCAUUCCAACAAGAAAUGAGGUAAUUCUCUGGAUUCCACUAAUUAUUCUACAUAUCACAAGUGAUCUCCAGUUUACUCAUUCCCUAGGUACCACCAGUUAUUUGCAGUACUAACACAUCAUGCCAACAUGAAAUAACAUUUUAGAAUCAAGAAGAAUAUUUUUCUUCUUACACUAGAUACUUUAGUUAUCUGCAGAUGUCUCCACAUAUCUAGUUUCUCAGGUACCAAUACUUAGCUAUAGUUCUAAGGCAAAAUUCCAACAAGGAACGAGAACAUAGUACUGCAUGACUUUCUUUAUCACCUUCCAGGAUUACAAUACUUAUUUUAAUUAUCUCCAGUUAUUUUGAGGUAAGUAAUGAAGUAGACAUCACCAGAUAUCUAUAAUACUAACUCAUUAUAAUAAUAAGAAAUAAGAAGUUGCAGUGGUAAAUCAUGAUUUUUUCAACUUCAUGACUUCGUAUUUUUUUUCUGGUUAUUUCUAGUUAAAUCUAUUUCACUACUGACAUAGGUACCACCAGAUAUCUGUAGUAUAAACUCAUUAUUUCACAAAAAAAUAAGAAUUUGAGUCUGUGAAGACUGUGCUUUCAAACAUCACUGCACUCCAGUGUAGGCAACACAGCGAGGUGCUGUCUCAAAAAAAGAAAGAAAAAGAAGGAAAGGAAGGAAGAAAGGGAAGAAAGGAAAGAAAGAAAGAAAGGACAGAAAAGAAGGAAGAAGGAAAGAAAAAGGAAGGAAAAUAAAAAGAAGAGAAAGAAGGAAGGAAAAAAGAAGAAAAAGAAAGAAAAGAAAGAAGAUACGACUAUAGUGUUGAGAAGAAUAUUGUUUCAACUUCCUGGAUUGAUCAACUUUUCUUCAG
rnacentral:lncRNA from 10 species